rnacentral:tRNA from 1 species
AAUUAGGCGACACCCAGAUUCGAACUGGGGAUAGAGGAUUUGCAAUCCACAGCCUUACCACUUGGCUAUAUCGCCU